rnacentral:rRNA from 1 species
GACGAACGCUGGCGGCGUGCCUAAUACAUGCAAGUCGAGCGAGCUUGCCUAGAUGAAUUUGGUGCUUGCACCAAAUGAAACUAGAUACAAGCGAGCGGCGGACGGGUGAGUAACACGUGGGUAACCUGCCCAAGAGACUGGGAUAACACCUGGAAACAGAUGCUAAUACCGGAUAACAACACUAGACGCAUGUCUAGAGUUUAAAAGAUGGUUCUGCUAUCACUCUUGGAUGGACCUGCGGUGCAUUAGCUAGUUGGUAAGGUAACGGCUUACCAAGGCAAUGAUGCAUAGCCGAGUUGAGAGACUGAUCGGCCACAUUGGGACUGAGACACGGCCCAAACUCCUACGGGAGGCAGCAGUAGGGAAUCUUCCACAAUGGACGCAAGUCUGAUGGAGCAACGCCGCGUGAGUGAAGAAGGGUUUCGGCUCGUAAAGCUCUGUUGGUAGUGAAGAAAGAUAGAGGUAGUAACUGGCCUUUAUUUGACGGUAAUUACUUAGAAAGUCACGGCUAACUACGUGCCAGCAGCCGCGGUAAUACGUAGGUGGCAAGCGUUGUCCGGAUUUAUUGGGCGUAAAGCGAGUGCAGGCGGUUCAAUAAGUCUGAUGUGAAAGCCUUCGGCUCAACCGGAGAAUUGCAUCAGAAACUGUUGAACUUGAGUGCAGAAGAGGAGAGUGGAACUCCAUGUGUAGCGGUGGAAUGCGUAGAUAUAUGGAAAGAACACCAGUGGCGAAAGGCGGCUCUCUGGGUCUGCAACUGACGCUGAGGCUCCAAAGCAUGGGUAGCGAACAGGAUUAUAUACCCGGGAGUCCAAGGGCGAAUUCCACAGUGGAUAUCAAGCUUACGAUACCGUCGACCUUCUAAGAAGGAGCCCGCGAACCACUUUUGUUCCUUUACGGGGGUUAAUUAUCUAACC